rnacentral:rRNA from 1 species
GCCCAAUAGCUAGCCCACUCACUAACAAACAACACACCAUCAUAACUAACCCCUCAUGCACUAAACAAACUUAAACAAACCAUUUUUCCCCCCCAGUAUGGGCGACAGAAAAGGAACAUUGGAGCAAUAGAGAAAGUACCGCAAGGGAAAGCUGAAAGAGAAAUGAAACAACCCAGUUAAGCCUAAAGAAGCAGAGAUUAAAACUCGUCU